GAUGAACGCUGGCGGCGUGCUUAACACAUGCAAGUCGAACGAAGCUGCUUAACUGAUCUUCUUCGGAAUUGACGUUUUGUAGACUGAGUGGCGGACGGGUGAGUAACGCGUGGGUAACCUGCCCUGUACAGGGGGAUAACAGUCAGAAAUGACUGCUAAUACCGCAUAAGACCACAGCACCGCAUGGUGCAGGGGUAAAAACUCCGGUGGUACAGGAUGGACCCGCGUCUGAUUAGCUGGUUGGUGAGGUAACGGCUCACCAAGGCGACGAUCAGUAGCCGGCUUGAGAGAGUGAACGGCCACAUUGGGACUGAGACACGGCCCAAACUCCUACGGGAGGCAGCAGUGGGGAAUAUUGCACAAUGGGGGAAACCCUGAUGCAGCGACGCCGCGUGAGUGAAGAAGUAUCUCGGUAUGUAAAGCUCUAUCAGCAGGGAAGAAAAUGACGGUAC
rnacentral:rRNA from 1 species